AUUGAACGCUGGCGGCAUGCCUUACACAUGCAAGUCGAACGGCAGCACGGGAGCAAUCCUGGUGGCGAGUGGCGAACGGGUGAGUAAUAUAUCGGAACGUGCCCAGUCGUGGGGGAUAACGUAGCGAAAGCUACGCUAAUACCGCAUACGAUCUAUGGAUGAAAGCGGGGGAUCGCAAGACCUCGCGCGAUUGGAGCGGCCGAUAUCAGAUUAGGUAGUUGGUGAGGUAAAGGCUCACCAAGCCGACGAUCUGUAGCUGGUCUGAGAGGACGACCAGCCACACUGGGACUGAGACACGGCCCAGACUCCCACGGGAGGCAGCAGUGGGGAAUUUUGGACAAUGGGCGCAAGCCUGAUCCAGCAAUGCCGCGUGCAGGAUGAAGGCCUUCGGGUUGUAAACUGCUUUUGUACGGAACGAAACGGUGAGCUCUAAUACAGUUUGCUAAUGACGGUACCGUAAGAAUAAGCACCGGCUAACUACGUG
rnacentral:rRNA from 1 species